UCUGGUUGAUCCUGCCAGUAGUCAUAUGCUUGUCUCAAAGAUUAAGCCAUGCAUGUCUAAGUAUAAAUAGUAUACAGUGAAACUGCGAAUGGCUCAUUAAAACAGUUAUAGUUUAUUUGAUAAUUGACAAUUACAUGGAUAACCGUGGUAAUUCUAGAGCUAAUACAUGCUUAAACGCCCGACUUUAUGGGAGGGUGGUAUUUAUUAGACUGAAGCCAAUAUUCCUUGUGUCUAUUGCGGUGAUUCAUAAUAACUGAUCGAAUCUCUUUUUGAGAUAAAUCAUUCAAGUUUCUGCCCUAUCAGCUUUCGAUGGUAGUGUAUUGGACUACCAUGGCAGUAACGGGCAACGAAGAAUUAGGGUUCGAUUUCGGAGAGGGAGCAUGAGAAACGGCUACCACAUCUAAGGAAGGCAGCAGGCGCGUAAAUUACCCAAUCCUGACUCAGGGAGGUAGUGACAAGAAAUAGCAAACCGGGAACCUCAUGGUUUCACGGUAUUGCAAUGAGAACAAUUUAAAACCCUUAGCGAGAAUCAAGUGGAGGACAAGUCUGGUGCCAGCACCCGCGGUAAUUCCAGCUCCACUAGCGUAUAUUAAAGUUGUUGCAGUUAAAAAGCUCGUAGUUGAACCUCUGUCUGGGGCUAGUUUUGGCUUUGGUCAGGCUAGUUCUAGGCAUCCGCCUACAAGACUUAGAGGGCAUUCAGUUGUUCACUAGGAGGAGUAGGCAUUUUACUUUGAAAAAAUUAGAGUGUUUAAGGCAGGCAAUCGCCCGCAUAUAUUAGCAUGGAAUAAUAGAAUAGGACACUUUUCCAUUUCGUUGGUUAUUGGAAUCGUGUAAUGAUUAAUAGGGACAGUUGUGGGCAUUUGUAUUUAAUUGUCAGAGGUGAAAUUCUUGGAUUUAUUAAAGACAAACUAACGCGAAAGCAUUUGCCAAGGAUGUUUUCAUUAAUCAAGAACGAAAGUUAGGGGAUCAAAGACGAUCAGAUACCGUCCUAGUCUUAACUAUAAACUAUUCCGACUCAAUGUUUGACUGGCUUAUAUAACCAGUUGAGCGUUGUAUGAGAAAUCAAAGUCUUUAGGUUCUGGGGGGAGUAUGGUUGCAAAGCUGAAACUUAAAGGAAUUGACGGAAGAGCACAACCAGGAGUGGAUUCUACGGCUUAAUUUGACUCAACACGGGGACACUUACCAGGUUAAAACAAUAGUGGGAUUGACAGUUUGAGAGCGCUUUCUUGAUUGGUUGGGUGGUGGUGCAUGGCCGUUCUUAGUUGGUGGAGUGAUUUGUCUGCUUAAUUGCGUUAACGAACGAGACCUUAACCUGCUUACUAGACUGGCGAUCAUCAAUCGUUAGCUCUUCUUAGAGGGACUUUGGU
rnacentral:rRNA from 1 species